GUGGAAGAUAAGUAUUUUUGGAAUAAUUGAGAUAAUUUUUGGAAGAGAAAUUCAGUCCCGUUGGAAGUGGAGUAGCUGAGUUUAUUCGACUUUUCAUGGUAGAAGAUAGAAAAAACAAGGUGUCUUUUAUGUAAGUUUGUGAAAGAAAAAUUAAUAAGAAUCUAUUGUUAGCAAUGGUAAAGUUUUAUUAUAGAGUAAGGUAUGAAAUUGGGCCAAUUUAGGCAAGCAUCGCAAAUCUUGGCUAAAUUAUGUCAUGUAACUUUAUGAAUUGCACUAUAUUGUAAUUAUCUCUAAAUUGGUUAAAUACCUAUAUGCAAUAUUAAAGAUUGGAAUAAUGGUUUAUAGGUAGAGCCGUCAAUAUGGGCUAGGCAUGUUGGGUCGGUCUGGCCUAAUCUAGGAUUUAAUAGGGUUGGACUAAAAAUUUUGAAGCUCAUUUUUAAAAAAAAAAGCUUUUUUGCCCGGCCUGAAUAAGCCUGAUGAUUUGUGGGGAUUGAGAAAUAUAGGUAGGGCCGGCCCGUGGGCCAAUAAAUAUUAAUUAAAAAAAUAUAAUAUAAUAUUAAAAUUUAAAAUUAAAGAGAUCCAAACUCAAAAUAUAUUUAAAGUUUUUAGAAAAUCACUAAGUAUAGAAGUUGCAUCCACCAUGAAAAAUGUCCAAACACUUGUUGCUACUCGAAACUGGUUAUAUGGUUUUUCUCAAACUAGUAAUAUAUUUUUGUGUACAUUAUAUAUUAUAAUUCACAAUUUAGUUAUAUUUUAAUAUUUAACUAAUUGAAACCGCAUAUAAAUUGCAGAUGAAAAUGAAGAUGUUAAGAUAACCUUCCCACAAGUUGAUUCAGAUAUGCUUGAAGAAGAUGAUCAUGAAGUGUUAGUUAGGUCAUAGGUUUCAUGAAGUGUUAGAUACGCCAUAAGUUUCAUGAUUUUUUAAGGAGUUUAUUUUUUACUUUUUAUGGUUGGAAUAUUGUCAUAUUUUUUGUGUUUUAUUGUGAUCAUUGCAAAACAAUUAGGUUAAUAUUUCUAUUUAGAUAUUUAUACUUUUACUUGAAAAAAACUUAAUAAAUAUUAUAAAGAUAAUUUUAUUUGUGGAUUUGAUUAACAAGUAGUAACAUUAACACCAUGUAAUAUUGUUUUGUCGAUAUUUAUGAUAAUAUUUUAAAUUAUAAUUUAUAAUUUAACUUAAUAAUUAUAAAAAAAAUAUAACUUUUAAAAAGUGGCUGGCCCGGCAAGCCUAUAGCCCACGUACUUGUGGAUUGAGUCGACCGUUUUCUGGCCCACACAAAAAAUGGGCUAGCCUAGCCUGACCCGUAAAAUGUCAAAGCCUGUAUGGGUUAGCCCGGAUGGGGUGGGCUAGCCCAUAUUGCCAGCUCUAUUUAUAGGGUUCAAAAUUCAACUUGAGAUACCAAAUUUAAGUCCAAGCAUUAUAUUAUUAUUUUUUAAAUGUUUUUAAUAAAAAU
rnacentral:lncRNA from 1 species